CCUACGGGUGGCAGCAGUGGGGAAUAUUGGGCAAUGGAGGCAACUCUGACCCAGUAAUGCCGCGUGAGUGAUGAAGGUAAUUUUAUUGUAAAGCUCUUUUCUUUGGAACGAAUAAAUGACGGUACCAAAGGAAUAAGCACCGGCUAACUACGUGCCAGCAGCCGCGGUAAUACGUAGGGGGCAAGCGGUGUUCGAAAUGACUGGGCGUAAAGGGUGGGUAGGUGGGUUGGUAAGUUAGAUGUGUAAUACCCAGGUCUUAACUAGGGUGCUGACUCUAAAACUGUUAGACUAGAGUACUGGAGAGGAUAGUGGAAUGCCUAGUGUAGCGGUGGAAUGCGUAGAUAUUAGGAGGAACAUCAGUGGCGAAGGCGACUAUCUGGACAGCAACUGACACUGAGGCACGAAAGCGUGGGGAGCAAACAGGAUUAGAUACCCGAGUAGUC
rnacentral:rRNA from 1 species